CCUGGCCAGAAUCCACAGAGGAGGGCGCCAAAUCCUCUCUCGUGAGAUCUGCCCUUCUCACGAAACUUGCGCUUGCUUCCUCUCGCGGUCCCAGCAGGCAGCUGAUUGUUUAGAUGGAGAGACCACAGGGGAGAGUUACCUGUUGCUGUGGGAGCAAUGAGGAGUUAUGGAGGAAAGGAGAGGUACCAAGACCAGGUUCAUAGUCAGAAAGGAAUUGCCUGGCUUCAGAUGAGACUUUGGACUUGGAAUUCUGAGUUCAUGAUGGAAUUAGUUAAGAUUUUGGGGGACUGUUGGGAAAGCAUGGUUGAUUUUGCAAUGUGAGGACAUGUGAUUUGAGAGGGGGCAGGGUUGGAAUGAUAUGAUUUGGCUCUGUGUCCCCAUCCAAAUUU
rnacentral:lncRNA from 1 species